rfam:Schistosoma rodhaini strain Burundi genome assembly, scaffold: SROB_scaffold0006535
ACACUGCUGAGGAGUCCCAAAAUAGGACUUAACGGCCGUCCAGUGA